CCCAGGUGUAUCCAGGUGUGCCCCAAACCCCGCCAGGUGUACCCAGGUGUAUCCAGGUGUGCCCAGGUGCAGUCCAGGUGUGCCCCAAACCCCUCCAGGUGUACCCCAGGUGAACCCUGGGGUCACUCAGGUGUGCCCACGUGUGCCCAGGUGUGCCCCAAACCCCGCCAGGUGUACCCCAGGUGUAUCCAGGUGUGCCCCAGGUGUAUCCAAGGUGUACCCAGGUGUACUCAGGUGUAUCCAAGGUGUACCCAGGUGUAUCCCAGAUGUACCCCACAUGUUCCCAGGUGUGCCCAGGUGUAUCCCAGGUGUACCCAGGUGUAUCCAAGGUGUGCCCAGGUGUAUCCCAGGUGUACUCAGGUGUAUCCCAGGUGUACCCAGGUGUAUCCCAGGUGUGCCCCACGUGUGCCCAGGUGUGUCCAGGUGUGCCCAGGUACCUCCAUGUGGUCCAGCGCGGUCCGGCUGGCCCGCAGGGCGCUGCGGCAGCUGCCCCAGGUGUGCCCAGGUGUAUCCCAGGUGUAUCCCAGGUGUAUCCAAGGUGUACCCAGGUGUACCCAGGUGUGCCCCACGUGUGCCCAGGUGUGUCCAGGUGUAUCCCAGGUGUAUCCCAGGUGUACUCAGGUGUAUCCAAGGUGUACCCAGGUGUAUCCCAGGUGUACCCCACAUGUUCCCAGGUGUUCCCAGGUGUGCCCAGGUGUAUCCCAGGUGUACUCAGGUGUGCCCCAAACCUCACCAGGUGUACCCCAGGUGUGUCCAGGUGUUCCCAGGUACCUCCAUGCGGUCCAGCGUGGUCUGGCUGGCCUGCAGGGCGCUGUGGCAGCUGCCCCAGGUGUGCCCAGGUGUAUCCCAGGUGUAUCCCAGGUGUACUCAGGUGUAUCCAAGGUGUACCCAGGUGUAUCCCAGGUGUGCCCCACGUGUGUCCAGGUGUGCCCAGGUACCUCCAUGCGGUCCAGCGUGGUCCGGCUGGCCCGCAGGGCACUGCAGCAGCUGCCCCAGGUGUGCCCAGGUGUAUCCCAGGUGUACCCAGGUGUAUCCCAGGUGUACUCAGGUGUGCCCCAAACCUCACCAGGUGUACCCCAGGUGUUCCCAGGUACCUCCAUGCAGUCCAGCGUGGUCCGGCUGGCCCGCAGGGCGCUGCGGCAGCUGCCCCAGGUGUGCCCAGGUGUAUCCCAGGUGUACUCAGGUGUAUCCAAGGUGUACCCAGGUGUACCGCAGGUGUGCCCAGGUGUACCCAGGUGUACCCAGGUGUGCCCCAAACCUCACCAGGUGUACCCCAGGUGUGUCCAGGUGUGCCCAGGUGUAUCCCAGGUGUACCCAGGUGUACUCAGGUGUGCCCCAAACCUCACCAGGUGUACCCCAGGUGUUCCCAGGUGUGCCCAGGUACCUCCAUGCGGUCCAGCGUGGUCCGGCUGGCCCGCAGGGCGCUGCGGCAGCUGCCCCAGGUGUGUCCAGGUGUAUCCCAGGUGUAUCCCAGGUGUGCCCAGGUGUUCCCAGGUGUAUCCCAGGUGUACUCAGGUGUAUCCAAGGUGUACCCAGGUGUAUCCCAGGUGUGCCCCACGUGUGCCCAGGUGUGUCCAGGUGUGCCCAGGUACCUCCAUGCGGUCCAGCGUGGUCCGGCUGGCCCGCAGGGCGCUGCGGCAGCUGCCCGGCUCGGACAGGGCGCCGUAGCGCUGCGCCAGGAGCCGCGCCCGCAGCCGCAGGUACCAGCGCCGCGCCUCCCCGGCCAGGU
ensembl:lncRNA